AGCAACGAAACACUGGGCCGCCUGCAGCGGAGCGCGCGAACUUAGCCGCUCGACCACGGGGCCAGCCCCCAUUUUUCUUUUUCUGUUGCUUAAUCAAGCCUUCAAGACAGUGAAGAUCAGACUGCACAUUCUGUCUUGCCUUUUGUCGACAGUUCUAGUCUUGGUGGAGUUUCCAUGCAUUUGUGCUGUUUGUGUCCAGACGCCACUCAGGAGUCAUUCUGGGAGGAGAGUCUCUUCUCUACCCUCCCCAUAGAUGGGGGAACCGAGGCGAGCAGAGGAUUAAUCCCUUGUCCCAGGUCACCCAGCUGCACUCACGAAGGAUCUGCAGCACGUUCUGGGGCCACGCCCAGUGCCAGUAGCAGCAGCACCCAGCAAGCUGGCCCUAGGAGGGCACGGGAUGGUGGCUUCUGACCUCGACCCUGCCCUGCGUUCAAGUUCCCGCCGGGCCCCGCCCUUGUAGCCUGUCCCGCCCCUCUAAGCCCCGGCCCCGCCCGUUGCACCCGAAGUUCUCGGAUUCCUGCAGACCUGGAUGCGGCGGCGUCGGGAGCCCCCAGAGCUGCGGUGCGAGGUGGGUCUGCUGCGGGCAGCGGGCCCAGAGCGAGGUGGGCGAGCUGCUGGGGAUGGGCGGGGGGCGACGGGGGACGACAACGCGAGGGGCUGCUCAGGAAUCCAGUGGCGCAGGGCGCCUCCCACAGGGAUCUCGAUUCCUCACAAACCAUGUCCCCAUCCAGGUCCCCGCCGUCCUCAAGGCCUGCGGCCGGUGGACCGCAGUCUGGGUGAUGUCCCUACUCUUAGACCCCAGGAUUCGGGGCAAGCGGCUUCCGGGGGUGGGGGCCGGGUUCUGCCCGGAGCAGGUUCGCGAGGCCCCUGGGUGAGGGGUGGUCUGGGGCCGCUCUGCGGCAGGGGGCGCCAGGAUGCGAGAGGAUGCUGCGCACCCAGAAUUAACCGAGACUUUCUCUGAGAACCAACUAGAACCCCUGGGGUCCCUCUAGGGAUGCGAACGCCACAGGUGGGGGGUGGGGUAAGGCCUGUCCUCAGAUGUGAGAAACCCCGCACAGCACUAUAGUCCCCCUCAGUGGGUGCAGCCCCCCAUGGUGCACACUUGGAAACCCCAGUCCCUCAGGACCUCCGGUCCCCCAACCCACUCCCCGCCACCCAGAUAGGGUGCCCCCCGGACCCGGCUUCUCUCUGUGCUGCUCCCGGUUAAAUUCCCUGGGGAGGAAAAAAAAGCAAACAAAUUCUCCCGGAGGAGAAGCCCUGAGUCUAAUGAGCAUUUCGGCUUCUCACUGAGAAAUUCUUCACCGAGUUCUUCUGGGCCAGCGCUGAUGGAGGGAGAGAAGGCGCCCAGGGUUUGGGCAGGGGGAUUUGGGGAGAGCAGUGAGCAGGGGAGGGGACGGCCCACCUUGGUGGAGGCCCCUCUGCACAGCCUGUUGGCUUCCUCUCAGACCAGCAAGGGGCCAUUUAACCCAUCUGGGUCAGACCCCCUGGAGGGGAGACAGAUUGUGCCUCUGCUGAUGCCCUGGACCCCCACCCUAUUGCUGGGUUCUCUGAAGCUGGGACCCUGGCUGCUGCUCUGUGUCACCUGCAGGCCCACCCGGUGCGUGCCCUCUUCAGUGAAGGUGCUGGCUCAGGCCAGGCCCACAGUACCCUUCAUGGCCCCACAGGCCCUCUGCUGCCCCGCUGCGGCCCUGCAGAGGAGGCUGCCCAUCCUGGCCUGGCUGUGCAACUGCUGUGUGCUGUGGCUGAAGGUGGACUUAAUGGCCAGGUUCUAGGUGGGGCUCAAGGUCAUACCCCAGGCGCUGGCCUGUGCUGAGGGGCCUGACUUCUGCCCCAGGUGAGAUGUCUGCCCUGCUGCUGGCCACAUGCUCUGCCCAUGGCCUGACCCCACUAUGGGCCUCAGUGUCCACCCAGAAGCCGAGGAGAAAUGCACAGUAUCCCCUCCAGGCAGUGGGGCACCCAGGGCUCCAGCCCCAUCUGGCCAAGAAGCCUCAGUUUACAAUUUUGAGCAUGUGACACAUGCCCCUAUACCUGCUUUUGUCACACACAGGCAUUGAGCUACUUCUGGAUUGUGUGAGGGGGCCAGCGGGAUGACCCACCGUGGCCUUAAGAACACUUCCUCAGACUCACACACUCACACAGAGGCACACAGGCCUUUGUGCUCCCGGAGGUGUCACCCAGGUGGUACCAGAUGGGUACGGGAAGAAAAGAGGUCCCCUGGUCACUGCAGGUCACACUCGUGGGUGAUAGAGGGUGAGCGUUUACCCUGCCUGUGUGCGCUACUGUGCCCAACGUACCCAAUGGACACACAGACCCCUGUGCUCAGACGUCUACACCAGGGAUGCCAUGAGCGUGCCGUGUGCCUCCUGGGGGCUCAUUGCUCUCUCUCCCCAACAGUCUGGCCUCUACUCUGCCUUCAUGGGUGCUUCGUGUAGGUCUUCCUGGCACCUCCCGGGAUGUGACUCUGGGCCCCACGGCCAUCAUGUCCCUCCUGGUCUCCUCCUACGCCUCCCGUGAGCCCGCCUGUGCUGUGCUGCUGGCCUUCCUGUGGGGCUGGUGCAGUGAGCCCUGGGGCUCCUGCUCUCGGGUGAGACCCUCAGGCCUUCCUGCUGUGGCGGGGACUGUAGUUCUGCUCUUCUUGGGGCCCUGAGGCACCUGCCUCCUGGGGCUGACCCUGCCCUCAGCAUUUCCUUCUUUGCAUUCCAAGCACUGUCCCUGUGUGUGUGUGUGUGUGGUGGGGUGGAGGUGCCCUCACCCCUCAGCCCCCCCCCCCCCCACAUUCUGCUGAGAGGCCAGGACACUUGGAGAAGCGCCCAGAUCCUCAGACCCCAGCCUCCUAUUCCUGCUCUCCAGACCAGCCCAAACAGGGCGCGUCACCACUGGCCCUUAGACCCAGUCCCACCCACACCCCAUCUCCCAGCCCACAUCCACCCAUGUCCUCUGAGACAGAGCAGAGCCAUGACCACUCAGUAUUUCCUCCUGGCUGACGGGGGUCCCUGCUGGAUAUCAUGUCCUGCCCCGUCAGUCAUUAAAGGUUUCACCUCCGCUGCUACCAUCACCAUUGGCUUCGGGCAGAUCAGGGUGGGCUCGCUGUUGGCACCAGGGCACCCGCUGGAUAGAGGACCAAGGCCGGGUCCUGGUAUCUGUCAGCCAGUCGAUGUCCUGCUGUUCCAGAGCUUGAACAUGGGGUGCUCACGUGGGUCUCCAUGAAUAAAAUGACCCCUCGGCGCAGAUUUUGGGGGAGGGUCAGAUUGCAUAAGAGGUCAUUUGGGAACUGGUGAUGACAGCCCCGCUCUGGGUGGAGUCUCCCCCUCAGUGUGCUUGGCUCCCUCGCUGAGUGGUUCUGUUCUGCUCCCUCUGCUGCACACUCAGCCAGCAGCCGUCACAGGCCCCGAGCAUCCUGCCAAACUUCCACGAGCAAACGACUCCCCCACUUCAGGAGGUAAAUAAGGAUGUUCCGCUGUUCUAGCGUCUUCACAGGGUUUUAGGUAAUUCUAGCAACGGUCACAGCUACAAUGUCUGCAAGUGGAAUGAGCAUCUGCAAUGCUCAUUUAACCAGAUGAUUUCAUUUUUAUGUUUUCCUCUAAUUUCUGUUGACUGUGUUUCAAAUGCCCUGCUUCUUUACGUUUCUGUUUAAACCUCUACAAGAAGCACUAGGUCAGUGAUCAUCGGAUGUCUGAGGCCGUCAUUGGUUCUCCUUUCCCUGGGUCUGACAUUCCUGGGGGGCAGGAGCUGUCUUGCUCCUGACUGUGGCCGCCCAGUGCUGUGCUUGGUACAAAGCAGGUUAGUGCAGAGUGGACCCGAGCUGCAUUGUACUAAUGACGCCAUAGGGCCCCUGCGUCGUGACUUGGUGUCCCCACCCGGGCCUCUCCAAGGCCUGGUCACCAUGGCCAGGCUCUGCCCCAUGCUGGCCUAUGACAGUCUUCCCUGACGGCGGGCAGUGAGCAGAUCAAGGCCUGGAGGAGACAAGUGUGUGAGAAUCAAGCAGCUGACAUGUCUUCCCUCUCGCUCUGUGCUGGGGCUGGAUUCACACUUUCCCGGUGCUCAUUUCUCACCACACCCCUGGGGGCAGGUUUCUCACCAUCUCCAUUUAGGGAGGAGGGAACCCCUUAGAAAGGUGGGGUGAGUGCGAUUUGUAUAUUAUGUGCACGCACAUGUCAUGGGGAGCUUGGCAACUGCUGUUUCCUGGGAAGGCCUGUCCUUUAUUCUGGAAACGACAUCCUUCCUUUUCAGUGUCAAGAAUGCUCCUUGAUACGAUCAUAGUGAGGGUAGAGGGCAGCUUCUUUAUGCAUUCGUACUUGGUGACCCUAGGCCUCCAAAGUCAUUGAACCCUGACUGUAUCAUGACAGCCACUGGAGAGCCCCUUGGCUGGGGUAGGAUGGGGGCCCUCCUGACCUUCCCAGGACAGAAGUGGGGAGGUGGGGGUUGCAGGUGUCACCUGGCUAAGUAGCCGGGACUUCGGUGGCACCAGCACCACAGGCACCUUGGCCCUGGUGAGUGGUGUGCUCCCAGGGGAGCGUAUUGUGGUCAGUGAUGGUCAUGUGAACUGAAGGGGGACAACGAUUGGCAUCAAGAACAGGUGCACAGCUUUGUGACAAAUCCGGAUGUCUUUGUAUUUGUAUUUGCUUACUCGUGGAAGGCACAUUAAAGCCUGAUGGAUUUUUUAAAUUUUUUUUUAAAUUCUAUUAAUUUUAUUUUUUUUAAAGAUUUUAUUUUU